GACGAACGCUGGCGGCGUGCUUAACACAUGCAAGUCGAACGGAAAGGCCCUGCUUUUGUGGGGUGCUCGAGUGGCGAACGGGUGAGUAACACGUGAGUAACCUGCCCUUGACUUUGGGAUAACUUCAGGAAACUGGGGCUAAUACCGGAUAGGAGCUCCUGCUGCAUGGUGGGGGUUGGAAAGUUUCGGCGGUUGGGGAUGGACUCGCGGCUUAUGAGCUUGUUGGUGGGGUAGUGGCUUACCAAGGCUUUGACGGGUAGCCGGCCUGAGAGGGUGACCGGCCACAUUGGGACUGAGAUACGGCCCAGACUCCUACGGGAGGCAGAAGUGGGGAAUAUUGCACAAUGGGCGGAAGCCUGAUGCAGCAACGCCGCGUGCGGGAUGACGGCCUUCGGGUUGUAAACCGCUUUCGCCUGUGACGAAGCGUGAGUGACGGUAAUGGGUAAAGAAGCACCGGCUAACUACGUG
rnacentral:rRNA from 1 species